rnacentral:tRNA from 1 species
UCCCUGCUGGUCCAAUGGUUAAGACUCUGAGCUCCCAGUUCAGGGGGCCUGGGUUCCAUCCCUGGUCAGGGAA